UACGAAAGGUGCAAGCGUUACUCGGAAUCACUGGGCGUAAAGCGCACGUAGGCGGAUUGACAAGUCAAUUGUGAAAGCCCUAGGCUCAACCUAGGAACAGCAGUUGAAACUGUCUUUCUUGAAUAUCUGAGAGGGUGGGGGAAUACCUAGUGGAGAAGUGAAAUUCGUAGAGAUUAGGUGGAACACCAGAGGCGAAGGCGCCUGCCUGGCAGAAUAUUGACGCUGAGGUGCGAAAGUGUGGGGAGCAAACAGG
rnacentral:rRNA from 1 species